GACAGAGGCCCCGAGCGUUAGGCGGAAUCACUGGGCUUAAAGCGUGUGUAGGCGGUUCGUUAAGUGUCUUGUGAAAUCCCACGGCUCACCCGUGGAACUGCUGGGCAUACUGGCGAUCUUGGGCCAUUCAGGGGCGACUGGAACAAGCGGUGGAGCGGUGAAAUGCGUAGAUAUCGCUUGGAACGCCAAAGGUGAAAACAGGUCGCUGGGGAUGCGCCGACGCUGAGACACGAAAGCCAGGGGAGCAAACGGG
rnacentral:rRNA from 1 species